AUUGAACGCUGGCGGCAUGCUUUACACAUGCAAGUCGAACGGUAACAGGCCUUCUGGUGCUGACGAGUGGCGAACGGGUGAGUAAUGCAUCGGAACGUACCCAGAGGUGGGGGAUAACGCAGCGAAAGCUGUGCUAAUACCGCAUGUGAUCUGAGGAUGAAAGCGGGGGACCGAGCAGCAAUGUUUGGCCUCGCGCCUUUGGAGCGGCCGAUGUCGGAUUAGCUAGUUGGUGGGGUAAAGGCCUACCAAGGCGACGAUCCGUAGCUGGUCUGAGAGGACGGCCAGCCACCCUGGGACUGAGACACGGACCAGACUCCUACGGGAGGCAGCAGUGGGGAAUUUUGGACAAUGGGCGCAAGCCUGAUCCAGCAAUGCCGCGUGCGGGAAGAAGGCCUUCGGGUUGUAAACCGCUUUUGGCAGGAACGAAACGGUGUCCGCUAAUACCGGGCGCUAAUGACGGUACCUGCAGAAUAAGCACCGGCUAACUACGUG
rnacentral:rRNA from 1 species